rnacentral:lncRNA from 1 species
CGAACGGUUGCAUGUGUGCUUAAACCUUUCAAAAAAAAUUAUUUAUUUACUUUUUUGUAAAAGAAAGAGAAAAGGUUUUUAGCACAAGGCCUAUGCGAACGGUCGCACGUGUGAUAUUAACCUUUUAAAAUAUAUUUUUAUUAUUUUUAUUUCGAGACAUCCGUGCACACAUGCUUGAAUUUAUAGGCAAAUGAAAAAAUGAAAGAUGUUUAGAAAGGUUUAGAGGAGAAUGGGAUAGUUGUUUGGACAAGUCAUUCCUCAUAUAAUCCUCAAAGGAGAUGUGAUAUGAGAAUGUCAGGGUGAAACACGAGAUACAAAAAGGGUGCCCCAGCUUGAUGUUUUGGAAAAUAAGCCAGGGUAUGAAAAUUAGGGUGAAAAUUUCAAAUGAGAUUUGCAAAGCUGCCCUAGUCUUGAGGUUAUGGAUUGAUGAAAAACUCGUGUGAGACUCAUAAAGUUACCCCAAUUUUUUUCUUUGGCAAGGGGUUUUGUUUGGAAGAGAUAGUGGGCAUGAAAAGGAUAGGCUAAAAGGAUGGCCGCCAAUUGGUUUGAUUUUCUUUUGCAUGCUUCUGGCUAGUUGGCAGGGAGGUCCCCUCUUCCUGAGGUAUUACUUUUUUCUCUUUUUUUUUUCAUUCUUUUCAUUCAUCAUUUUUUUUUGUUUUCAUUCAUUCAUUUUCAACUUUUUUUUACGACACAUUGAAAGUCAUUUCGCCUUAUAGCAAAAUUAAGCUUUAAGAAAAUUUGAGCAAACGUUAUCCAAUCUGUAUGGACUUUAUUAAGCUUGUAACGUGGCUAGGGCAUAAAAGGUAUUGAAAGAA